GCCUUAUAGCCAACAAGUCGGUUGUAUUAUUAGCCUUGCUCUUAAAUGGAAUCGAUAUGUUCAGCUGUAGAGUGC
rnacentral:misc_RNA from 1 species